rnacentral:tRNA from 1 species
GGUCCUCUCGUCUAAUGGUUAAGACACCAGUCUUAUAAACUGGCUAUGGCGCCAGAUUAGCGCAAGAUCUCAGUUCGAAUCUGAGGGGGACCACCA